AGCCUUCUGUGUCCGUGCCGAGGUUUCGUCAGCGAUCAACCCACUGGGGCUGAUGCAAUCUGCCAAACAAGUGAAGUA
rnacentral:pre_miRNA from 1 species